rnacentral:rRNA from 1 species
CAGGAUGAACGCUGCGGGCGUGCCUAAUACAUGCAAGUCGAACGAGGUGCUUUUGUAGCAAUACGAGAGUAUCCUAGUGGCGAACGGGUGAGUAACGCGUUGGUGACCUGCCCCAAAGUGUGGGAUAACAGUCCGAAAGGAUUGCUAAUACCUCAUGUGGCCAUCGGGUUUAGAAACCGAUGUCUAAAGCAGCAAUGCGCUUUGGGAGGGACCUGCGUCCCAUCAGCUAGUUGGUGAGGUAACGGCCCACCAAGGCUACGACGGGUAGGGGGCCUGAGAGGGUGGCCCCCCACAAUGGAACUGAAACACGGUCCAUACACCUACGGGUGGCAGCAGUAGGGAAUAUUGCACAAUGGGCGAAAGCCUGAUGCAGCAACGCCGCGUGAGCGAUGAAGGCCUUCGGGUCGUAAAGCUCUUUUCUGGGAGACGAGAAAGGACAGUAUCCCAGGAAUAAGUCUCGGCUAACUACGUGCCAGCAGCCGCGGUAAAACGUAGGAGGCAAGCGUUAUCCGGAUUCACUGGGCGUAAAGCGCGUGCAGGCGGUUUGGUAAGUUGGGCGUGAAAUCUCCCGGCUCAACUGGGAGGGGUCGUUCAAUACUACCAGACUCGAGAGCGAUAGAGGAAAAUGGAAUUCCCGGUGUAGUGGUGAAAUGCGUAGAUAUCGGGAGGAACACCAGUGGCGAAAGCGAUUUUCUGGAUCGUUUCUGACGCCCAGACGCGAAAGCUAGGGUAGCAAACGGGAUUAGAGACCCCGGUAGUCCUAGCUGUAAACGAUGUGAACUUGGCGUUGGUGGCUUAAACUCCAUCAGUGCCGCAGCUAACGCGAUAAGUUCACCGCCUGGGGACUACGGCCCGCAGGUUUAAAACUCAAG